rnacentral:rRNA from 1 species
CCUACGGGAGGCAGCAGUGAGGAAUAUUGGUCAAUGGGCGCUAGCCUGAACCAGCCAAGUAGCGUGAAGGAUGACUGCCCUAUGGGUUGUAAACUGCUUUUAUAGGGGAAUAAAGUGCAGUAUGUAUACUGCUUUGCAUGUACCUUAUGAAUAAGGAGCGGCUAACUCCGUGCCAGCAGCCGCGGUAAUACGGAGGAUCAGAGCGUUAUCCGGAUUUAUUGGGGUUAAAGGGAGCGUAGGCGGGUUGUUAAUUCAGUUGUGAAAGUUUGCGGCUCCACCGUACAAUUUCAGUUGAUACUGGCAUCCUUGAGUUCAGUAGAGUUAGGCGGCAUUCGUGUUGUAGCGGUGAAAUGCUUCGAUCUCACGAAGUACUCCGAUUGCGAAGGCAGCCUGCUGGACUGUAACUGACGCUGAUGCUC